rnacentral:rRNA from 1 species
GACGAACGCUGGCGGCGUGCCUAAUACAUGCAAGUCGAGCGAAGUUUUUCUGGUGCUUGCACUAGAAAAACUUAGCGGCGAACGGGUGAGUAACACGUAAAGAACCUGCCUCAUAGACUGGGACAACUAUUGGAAACGAUAGCUAAUACCGGAUAACAGUAUUUCUCGCAUGAGAGAUAUUUAAAAGUUGGUUAUGCUAACACUAUGAGAUGGCUUUGCGGUGCAUUAGCUAGUUGGUGGGGUAAAGGCCCACCAAGGCGACGAUGCAUAGCCGACCUGAGAGGGUGGUCGGCCACACUGGGACUGAGACACGGCCCAGACUCCUACGGGAGGCAGCAGUAGGGAAUCUUCCGCAAUGGGCGAAAGCCUGACGGAGCAACGCCGCGUGAGUGAAGAAGGAUUUCGGUUCGUAAAGCUCUGUUGUUAGGGAAGAAUGGAUAUGUAGUAACUAUACAUGUAAGAGACGGUACCUAACCAGAAAGCCACGGCUAACUACGUG